rnacentral:rRNA from 1 species
GUAGGGUGCGAGCGUUGUCCGGGAAUUACUGGGCGUAAAGAGCUCGUAGGUGGUUUGUCGCGUCGUCUGUGAAAUUCCGGGGGGGCUUAACUCCGGGGCGUGCAGGCGAUACGGGCAUAACUUGAGUGCUGUAGGGGAGACUGGAAUUCCUGGUGUAGCGGUGAAAUGCGCAGAUAUCAGGAGGAACACCGAUGGCGAAGGCAGGUCUCUGGGCAGUUACUGACGCUGAGGAGCGAAAGCAUGGGUAGCGAACAGGAUUAGAUACCCUGGUAGUCCAUGCCGUAAACGGUGGGCGCUAGGUGUAGGGGGCUUCCACGUCUUCUGUGCCGUAGCUAACGCAUUAAGCGCCCCGCCUGGGGAGUACGGCCGCAAGGCUA